rnacentral:rRNA from 1 species
UACGUAGGGGGCGAGCGUUGUCCGGAAUUAUUGGGCGUAAAGGGUUCGCAGGCGGCUUUUUAAGUCAGAUGUUAAAUCUCACGGCUUAACCGUGAUAAGCAUUUGAAACUGGAGAGCUUGAGUUAAGGAGAGGAAAGUGGAAUUCCUAGUGUAGCGGUGAAAUGCGUAGAUAUUAGGAGGAAUACCGGUGGCGAAGGCGACUUUCUGGACUUAUACUGACGCUGAGGAACGAAAGCAUGGGGAGCAAACAGG